rnacentral:rRNA from 1 species
GAUGAACGCUGGCGGCGUGCCUAAUACAUGCAAGUCGAGCGAACAGACGAGGAGCUUGCUCCUCUGACGUUAGCGGCGGACGGGUGAGUAACACGUGGAUAACCUACCUAUAAGACUGGGAUAACUUCGGGACACCGGAGCUAAUACCGGAUAAUAUAUUGAACCGCAUGGUUCAAUAGUGAAAGACGGUUUUGCUGUCACUUAUAGAUGGAUCCGCGCCGCAUUAGCUAGUUGGUAAGGUAACGGCUUACCAAGGCGACGAUGCGUAGCCGACCUGAGAGGGUGAUCGGCCACACUGGAACUGAGACACGGUCCAGACUCCUACGGGAGGCAGCAGUAGGGAAUCUUCCGCAAUGGGCGAAAGCCUGACGGAGCAACGCCGCGUGAGUGAUGAAGGUCUUCGGAUCGUAAAACUCUGUUAUUAGGGAAGAACAAAUGUGUAAGUAACUAUGCACGUCUUGACGGUACCGAAUCAGAAAGCAACGGCUAACUACGUG